rnacentral:lncRNA from 1 species
GGAUAUGAUCCUCCUGCUUCCUCCUCCUCUCUGGCUGGACUUCUAAAACUGAGGACAGAAGCAGAGUACGGUAAACAGAAGAGGAACUAUUCAAGAGGCAGCGUACAGCAGGCGGUAUGUACAUAAGAAAAGUUAUGAAUUUAGGGUAGACCAUAGAUGGGGGUGGGCAAACGUUUUGGC